rnacentral:snRNA from 1 species
AUACUUAGCUGCCAGGGGAGACACCGUGAUCAGGAGGGUGGUUUUCCCAGGGCAAGGCUCACCCAUUGCACUGCGGGUGUGCUGACCCCUGCGAUUUCCCCAAAUGCAGGAAACUCGACUGCAAAUUUGAGGUAGUAGGGGAUGCGUCACGUGCUCUCCGA